AAGUCUCCCGUCAGGAAACAAAGAGCACCUGGUAGAAGCUGGACUGGGACCAAAUUAACAAGGUUUCUUGCCCUACGGCAGCAAACCUGCCUGCAACCGGCCACUAUUUAUUGGUGUAGCUCCUGCUCCUACAGGCCUGGAAAGACAAACAUUUCUCUCUGCUGAAUGAACAAGUUACUAGAGCUCAAUUCUUCCAGCUGAAAAUCCUGCCAUCACUCCCAAACUGUCAGUUUUCAUAAGAAGCUUCCCAGGAGCGAAGCGUAUCGCUCCUGGCACUGUGGCACGCAGCAGCAGGGACCAUGCUUACCGAGCCAGGGCUCGUACGGCACUGCCAGAAAGUGUCGGAAGACUGCAGUGCACCAAGCAA